ACAGUGCUACUGGCCCAUAAUCAGGCAACUGCAGAGUCUUAGGGGGUUAUCUAAUGUAGUCUUGGGGUGGCUGGAUAGACUUCCCAAAGAAGGUGAUGCCGAAGCUGAGGUCGGAAAUUACGAAGAUCAGCUAUCAAACUUGGAAAUCAUGUCUUAGAGAUCAAGGAGCCAAGAGAUGAGACAAGCCUGGGUUCCUAGGUGAUAGGGUGUGGCUGUGUCCCCACCCAAAUCUCGUCUUGAAUUGUAGCUCCCAUAAUCCCCACAUGUUGUGGAGGGACCCUGUGGAAGAUCUUUAAUAAAUGAAAUAAAUGUGACUGUAUGUCCUACAUCCCAUUCCUGUUGUCUUCCAUGUCUCCUCAGAGGAAGGCCUGAGGAGAGAAGACACAUAGUCAUGCUGACUAAACCAGAUCACCUAGAAUUACCAAAUGGAAAGGACACUGUUGUGUCUACAGCACCAGCUGGAUGAGCAGUUGAACAUGUGAAUUCUCUCGUUCGCACCAAGCCACAGCUGACUGGACACCAAGGCUAAGCAUCUGAUUGAAAAGCGGUCCAUAGAUUAGGAGGCUGUGACUGGCAUGACCUGAGACUAACCGAGGGACCAAGGCAAUGAGAAUCCUCAAUAGGGAGUCCAUGAUUAGUAAAAUAAUAGUCAGGGUUGACCCACUUGGAAGCUGAACCCAGAGGCCCCUAGGUCGAGUCAGGACUGGGACAGAGAGUGUGGUCCCCAGAUAAGCUGAAGUUAUGACAGGGCUGGCUGGUUGCGAGGGUCUAACAGACAGGCAGAAGUCAAUAGAGAUGUUAUAAUUGGGAUUUUCUGAGAUAUUUGAGACUCACAUAUACAUACAUACACACACAUACACACACACACACACAGAGAGAGAGAGAGAGAGAGAGAGAGAGACAGAGAGAGACAGAGAGGCUUCAGGGCCUAAUUCUAGCCCAUUUAAUAUAGCUUCUCUUUAGAAAAGGCUUUGCUUGUUGUAUAUGGAGGAUAUAGAGGAGCUAUAUGGAGAACAAAGAGGAGCACAAGUUUAGGAGUACAGGUUCUAAAAUUAUUCCGCCUGAAAUUAGAUUCCACCUGUGUGACCUUGGGUAAGUUAUUUAGCCUUUCUGGGCCUCAGUUUUCCUACAAGUAUAAUGAAGCUAUAGUAGACAAUAUCAUGUCCUGAGGGAUUGUAGACAGAGUUUUAGCAUAAUCCCUGGCACAUAAUAAUUGCUUGAUAAUUUUAUAGCCAUUAUUAUGACAGUGUUGUUUUAUUCAUUAUAUUUAUAUGCAUCCCUACAAUGAACCUCCUUUUCCUGAGGUGACAUGAAUAGGUUUCCCUUCUUUGCAAUUAGCAAAGUCUUCACUAAAAUGAUUCCCCAUUCUUCCAGUGCAUGGUCUUCCUCUCCCUCUCCUUCAUUCUCUCCCCACUUCACCCCCUCUCUCUUACCUAGAACAUCUUUUCCUCUUUAGUCAAAAGAAAUGAUCCUUACACUUCAGAGCUCAUCUCUAUCCCUCCUUCUCCACAAGGCCUUCACUGGUUACUAUAUUCUGAUUUUUGUCUCUUCUGAAUUCCAUCUGCAUCUAUAUAAGACUUUGUAUAGCCAUAUCCAAGACAGUGAUUCCAACUACCAUAGCACCUAAUUGUGUCCUAUUUUGAAUUGUGCUAUUCUUGAUAUUUCAGAUUUGAAUCCUUUUUUUCCCAACAAAACAUAAGGUUUUUGAUGGUAAGAGCUAUGAUUUGCAUUUAUUUAUUUCCCAAAGCAUUUAACAUAACACUAGGAACUACCAAAGAAAUUUAACAAAUUUAUAUCAUUGGCUAAAUCUGUGUAAACCAUGCAGCCUUCCUCCACAAAGUAGUUCUGCCAUUCCAUUUAUCACCUUUGGCUGGCCUGUCCAGCAAUUGUACAAUAUUUAUUUAAUAGUGGAAGACAUAAAAGUAAACAAGUUUAAAGAGGCUCAGUGCAUUUGGGUCUUCUGAUAUAUCUGUAGCUAAUAAACUGUUUGACCUUGGGUAAA
rnacentral:lncRNA from 1 species